rnacentral:rRNA from 1 species
GUUUGAUCAUGGCUCAGGAUGAACGCUGGCGGCGUGCUUAACACAUGCAAGUCGAACGAACCUUCGGGUUAGUGGCGGACGGGUGAGUAACGCGUGAGAAUCUGCCCUCAGGAGGGGGAUAACGGUUGGAAACGACCGCUAAUACCCCAUAUGCCUACUGGUGAAACGAAUUUCGCCUGAGGAUGAGCUCGCGUCUGAUUAGCUAGUUGGUGAGGUAAUGGCUCACCAAGGCUUCGAUCAGUAGCUGGUCUGAGAGGAUGAUCAGCCACACUGGGACUGAGACACGGCCCAGACUCCUACGGGAGGCAGCAGUGGGGAAUUUUCCGCAAUGGGCGAAAGCCUGACGGAGCAACGCCGCGUGAGGGACGAAGGCCUCUGGGCUGUAAACCUCUUUUCUCAAGGAAGAAGAUAUGACGGUACUUGAGGAAUAAGCCACGGCUAAUUCCGUGCCAGCAGCCGCGGUAAUACGGGAGUGGCAAGCGUUAUCCGGAAUUAUUGGGCGUAAAGCGUCCGCAGGCGGCUUUUCAAGUCUGCUGUUAAAGCGUGGAGCUUAACUCCAUCAUGGCAGUGGAAACUGAAAGGCUUGAGUAUGGUAGGGGCAGAGGGAAUUCCCGGUGUAGCGGUGAAAUGCGUAGAUAUCGGGAAGAACACCAGUGGCGAAGGCGCUCUGCUGGGCCAUUACUGACGCUCAUGGACGAAAGCCAGGGGAGCGAAAGGGAUUAGAUACCCCUGUAGUCCUGGCCGUAAACGAUGAACACUAGGUGUCGGGGGAAUCGACCCCCUCGGUGUCGUAGCUAACGCGUUAAGUGUUCCGCCUGGGGAGUACGCACGCAAGUGUGAAACUCAAAGGAAUUGACGGGGGCCCGCACAAGCGGUGGAGUAUGUGGUUUAAUUCGAUGCAACGCGAAGAACCUUACCAGGGUUUGACAUCCUGCGAACCUCUUAGAAAUUUGAGGGUGCCUUCGGGAAUGCAGUGACAGGUGGUGCAUGGCUGUCGUCAGCUCGUGUCGUGAGAUGUUGGGUUAAGUCCCGCAACGAGCGCAACCCACGUUUUUAGUUGCCAGCAUUUAGUUGGGCACUCUAGAAAGACCGCCGGUGAUAAACCGGAGGAAGGUGUGGAUGACGUCAAGUCAUCAUGCCCCUUACACCCUGGGCUACACACGUACUACAAUGCUACGGACAAAGGGCAGCAAACUCGCGAGAGCUAGCAAAUCCCAUAAACCGUGGCUCAGUUCAGAUCGUAGGCUGCAACUCGCCUACGUGAAGUAGGAAUCGCUAGUAAUCGCAGGUCAGCAUACUGCGGUGAAUACGUUCCCGGGCCUUGUACACACCGCCCGUCACACCAUGGAAGUUGGCCAUGCCCGAAGUCGUUACUCCAACCCUUGUGGAGGAGGACGCCGAAGGUGGGGCUAAUGACUGGGGUGAAGUCGUAACAAGGUAGCCGUA